AAAGUGCGACAAGUGUCAUGACUUGCAGAUACCCGAGAGCUGACAAAUUUCUGAAUGCAAAUUGCAGCCAAGUUAACCUGGCUAUGUAUUGCAGAGAGUACUUCGCUUAUGCGCGCCAUCCAGGGGUGGUUCCAUUCCUCCCUUGGGCUAUGUGCAGGCAUUCGUGCUUGCUGAGCAUUGUGCCACUCCAACUUGUUUGGAUAAAGGCCAACUCAAAUUAAAGAUAGAAAACCUUGAGUUUUCCCGGACAACAGUUUGAGACGAGACGUUGUUGUGUUCUUCACAAUGACUCUCUUUCUCUCACCAUUCACCUCUGCAAUGCAGGAGAACCCGCUGAACUUAA
rnacentral:misc_RNA from 1 species